rnacentral:lncRNA from 1 species
UGGGGUUGGGGUUGGGGUUGGGGGGUUGCAAGAGGAUUUGUUUUUGAUCGGUUAUUUAUUUUUGUAAACUAAAAGGACAGAUUAUUCAUUUUGUGCACUGUUGAAGCAAGAUUUUUGAUUUUCAUUAAAGCAAGGGACUGAUUAUUCAUUUUCACAACUAUAUUUAUGAUAUUCAAAAACAUACAAUUUUUAGAUGAUUUGUUU